UUAAUUGAAGCUAAAAUAGAAGCAAUUCACUGUUAAUGAAAAAAAUGGAUAAACCCAAUUAAA
rnacentral:tRNA from 1 species